UCGCUGUAUACUCCACUGUCUUUGCAACAGAUUCACUUACAGGGUUAUUUAAUAAAACCCCUUCAGCCACUUACCAUUAUCCUGCGCCGGGCUCCCUCGGCGCUGGUGACCACUCCUUCUACGUCAACGUCAGCUUCUCUGAAACUGCUAUGUUUACAUCUGAAGGGUUAAAACCUGGGGGACCUGGCACCCAGACCACUUCAUUGAGCUGAAGUGGUCUGGGUGACUAUAGUGUCCCUUUAAGGCCAAAGGAUCUUAUUUGAAAUCUCAAAUGCAGCUGUGUUUCAAGCUUGGUUACUUGGUCCUAAAAUUUGACUCACAACCUUCAUGAGAAAAAAAUAGGUUUCAUUUUCAAAUAUAUCUUAAAGCACAGUGUGUUUACUUUAGAAGUGAUAACUACCCUACUCUGUUAAUAGAACCCUUAACACACAAGAUGCUCCUGCAGGUUGUAGCAAACUUUUAACAGGUCAGGAGAUAAUAAAUUCAAAAUUAAACAAACUGUGCAAUAAGAGAAGUUAAAAUAUUUAAGCUCUAUUUAAGAAAGUGUGUAGGGAGGCUGUGUGCAGCCAGGGG